rnacentral:lncRNA from 1 species
GCUAAUUCAUGCUCAUAAGUACAGAAUAAAAUUGUACUUGUUCACACCACCAAGUUAUACACCUGUGUAAAUUAAAUGGUGGCCUCUUUUUCACAUCUCAACAGGAAAGAGAUCCACCAGCAUACAAAUCUGCUGAAGAUGCCUGCUUCGAAGACUUCAUCUUCUUGACAAAAGUGCUGAAGUAUUUUACUAGAAAGAAUCAUAACAAAGCCUGAAAGUAAAUGCAGGAUUGUCAGACAGAUGGAAGAAUCGUGCAGAAGAAAAGACAGCCAGCCAUGGGUCAUUGUUUUGCAAGUGCCUGGCGCAGCACAUGCAGUGACAAACCCAUGCCUCAAGCAGCUUGGCAGUAAAGGAGGCCAAGCAAAUCCUUUUCAGAUGCAGCAGCAAGUGCUGCUUCUUGAAUCAGCCUCCCCAGACAUGCACCACUGUCCCUCAGGCUGAAGAAAGAGGAAACUUCUAUACAGCAGUGCAAGGUCAGUCCUAUCUCCAUGACAGUGUGCUGUAACAGGAAAGGAUUUGGAAAGACUCAUCUUCUCUACCCAUCAGCUGAGCAAUGUUUUUCUCUGCCUGUUAAUUGCACUUACUCUUAGUGUUGAACCACUGCAACAAACAGAAUCCUCCUUCACUCCAUCAAGAAAUUUGCAUCUCUUCCAUCUUCUUACUGCAUCUUACUGCUUCUGCCCUUGGUACCUCCCUCACUGUUUUUGCAUUUUCUCAUAAAGACGCAUUUAUUCUACUUCCAUCUCUCCCAGUCUUUUCUUCUCAUGUAUUUCCCCUUCUCUAAGUAUUAUCGCUCAAUGGAAGCAGUUCAGGCCUAUCUCACAUCUCAGCUGCAAUCCCCAUAGUGUCUGUGCCAUCCUAGUAACAGUUCUGUUCCCAUCUGAGGUCAAAAUAAGGACAAGUAGCAUGAACACGUGUUUCCAAAAGCAAUCCAUGGUACUGAGCCGAAGCUUGCUGAAG